GACAGAGGCCACGAGCGUUAGGCGGAAUCACUGGGCUUAAAGCGUGUGUAGGUGGAUGACUAAGUACCUUGUGAAAUCCCACGACUCAAUCGUGGAACUGCUUGGUAUACUGGUUGUCUUGAGGUACUCAGGGGCGAGCGGAACAGAUGGUGGAGCGGUGAAAUGCGUAGAUAUCAUCUGGAACGCCAAUGGUGAAGACAGCUCGCUGGGGGUAUUCUGACACUGAGACACGAAAGCCAGGGGAGCAAACGGG
rnacentral:rRNA from 1 species